rnacentral:rRNA from 1 species
UUUGUAGCGAGGUUAACCGAAUAGGGGAGCCGUAGCGAAAGCGAGUCUUAACUGGGCGCUUAGUUGCAAGGUAUAGACCCGAAACCCGGUGAUCUAGCCAUGGGCAGGUUGAAGGUGCGGUAACACGCACUGGAGGACCGAACCCACGUCUGUUGAAAAAGACGGGGAUGACCUGUGGCUAGGGGUGAAAGGCCAAUCAAACUCGGAAAUAGCUGGUUCUCCGCGAAAUCUAUUUAGGUAGAGCGUCAUCCGAAUACCCUCGGGGGUAGAGCACUGGAUGGGCUAGGGGGCCCCAACGGCUUACCAAACCUAACCAAACUCCGAAUACCGAGGAGUACUAGAUGGCAGACACACUACGGGUGCUAAGGUCCGUAGUGGAGAGGGAAACAGCCCUGACCGCCAGCUAAGGUCCCUAAGUUAUCACUAAGUGGGAAACGAUGUGGGAGUGCUUAGACAACCAGGAGGUUGGCUUAGAAGCAGCCACCCUUUAAAGAAAGCGUAAUAGCUCACUGGUCGAGUCGGCCUGCGCGGAAGAUGUAACGGGGCUAAGCAAUAUACCGAAGCUGCGGCAGCACGUAUGUGCUGGGUAGGGGAGCGUUGUGUAAGUGGAUGAAGGUGAAUCGAGAGG